GGCUGCCCAAGGUGCAGGGUGAGAAGUCUGUAAAUCCGUCGGCUUAGCCUACCCAGGUUCGAAUCCUGGCGCCGCCA
rnacentral:tRNA from 1 species